rnacentral:rRNA from 1 species
GACGAACGCUGGCGGCGUGCCUAAUACAUGCAAGUAGAACGCACAGUUUAUACCGUAGCUUGCUACACCAUAAACUGUGAGUUGCGAACGGGUGAGUAACGCGUAGGUAACCUGCCUGGUAGCGGGGGAUAACUAUUGGAAACGAUAGCUAAUACCGCAUAAUAUUUAUUAUUGCAUGAUAAUUUAUGGAAAGAUGCUAUUGCAUCACUACUAGAUGGGCCGGCGUUGUAUUAGCUAGUAGGUGAGGUAACGGCUCACCUAGGCGACGAUACAUAGCCGACGUGAGCGGGUGAUAGGCGACACUGGGACUGAGACACGGCCCAGACGCCUACGGGAGGCAGCAGUAGGGAAUCUGCGGCAAUGGACGGAAGUCUGACCGAGCAACGCCGCGUGAGUGAAGAAGGUUUUCGGAUCGUAAAGCUCUGUUGUAAGAGAAGAACGGGUGUGGGAGUGGAAAGUUCACACUGUGACGGUAUCUUACCAGAAAGGGACGGCUAACUACGUG